CGGCAGGCUUAACACAUGCAAGUCGAACGAGAACGGAUUAUAGCUUGCUAUAAUUGUCAGCUAAGUGGCGCACGGGUGAGUAAUGUAUAGGUAAUAUGCCUCUUACUAAGGGAUAACAAAUGGAAACGUUUGCUAAUACCUUAUACUCCUUAUUAACAGAAGUUAAUAAGGGAAAGAUUUAUUGGUAAGAGAUUAGCCUGUAUUGUAUCAGUUAGUUGGUGGGGUAAUGGCUUACCAAGACUAUGACACAUAACUGGUUUGAGAGGAUGAUCAGUCACACUGGAACUGAGACACGGUCCAGACUCCGUACGGGAGGCAGCAGGUGGGGAAUAUUGCACAAUGGACGAAAGUCUGAUGCAGCAACGCCGCGUGGAGGAUGACACAUUUCGGUGCGUAAACUCCUUUUAUAUGAGAAGAUAAUGACGGUAUUAUAUGAAUAAGCACCGGCUAACUCCGUG
rnacentral:rRNA from 1 species